rnacentral:rRNA from 1 species
AGAGUUUGAUCCUGGCUCAGGAUGAACGCUAGCGGCAGGCUUAACACAUGCAAGUCGAGGGGUAACAGGAUUAGCUUGCUAAUUGCUGACGACCGGCGAACGGGUGCGUAACGCGUAUGCAAUCUACCUUCAACAGGAGCAUAGCUUCGAGAAAUCGAAAUUAAUACUCCAUAAUAUUUAUUCUUCGCAUGUUGAGUAAAUUAAAACUCCGGUGGUUGAAGAUGAGCAUGCGUGACAUUAGCUAGUUGGUGAGGUAACGGCUCACCAAGGCGACGAUGUCUAGGGGUUCUGAGAGGAUGAUCCCCCACACUGGUACUGAGACACGGACCAGACUCCUACGGGAGGCAGCAGUGAGGAAUAUUGGUCAAUGGACGAAAGUCUGAACCAGCCAUGCCGCGUGCAGGAUGACGGCCUUAUGGGUUGUAAACUGCUUUUAUUUGGGAAGAAACCCUCGAACGUGUUCGAAUCUGACGGUACCAAAUGAAUAAGCACCGGCUAACUCCGUGCCAGCAGCCGCGGUAAUACGGAGGGUGCAAGCGUUAUCCGGAUUUAUUGGGUUUAAAGGGUUCGUAGGCGGAAUCAUAAGUCAGUGGUGAAAUCCUGCAGCUUAACUGUAGAACUGCCAUUGAUACUGUAAUUCUUGAGUUCAGUUGAGGUAAGCGGAAUGUGACGUGUAGCGGUGAAAUGCAUAGAUAUGACACAGAACACCGAUUGCGAAGGCAGCUUACCAAGCUGAUACUGACGCUGAGGAACGAAAGCGUGGGGAGCGAACAGGAUUAGAUACCCUGGUAGUCCACGCCGUAAACGAUGAUCACUCGAUGUUGGCGACAUAAUGUCAGCGUCCAAGCGAAAGUGUUAAGUGAUCCACCUGGGGAGUACGAUCGCAAGGUUGAAACUCAAAGGAAUUGACGGGGGCCCGCACAAGCGGUGGAGCAUGUGGUUUAAUUCGAUGAUACGCGAGGAACCUUACCAAGGCUUAAAUGUAUAACGACCGUUCCGGAAACGGAACUUUCUUCGGACGGAAUACAAGGUGCUGCAUGGUUGUCGUCAGCUCGUGCCGUGAGGUGUCGGGUUAAGUCCCAUAACGAGCGCAACCCCUAUUCUUAGUUGCCAUCAGGUCAUGCUGGGGACUCUAAGAAAACUGCCCGUGCAAACGGUGAGGAAGGUGGGGAUGACGUCAAAUCAUCACGGCCCUUACGUCUUGGGCUACACACGUGCUACAAUGGUCGAUACAAAGGGUUGCUACCUGGUGACAGGAUGCUAAUCUCUAAAAUCGAUCUCAGUUCGGAUUGGAGUCUGCAACUCGACUCUAUGAAGCUGGAAUCGCUAGUAAUCGCGCAUCAGCCAUGGCGCGGUGAAUACGUUCCCGGGCCUUGUACACACCGCCCGUCAAGCCAUGGAAGCUGGGGGUGCCUGAAGUCGGUAACCGUUAAGGAGCUGCCUAGGGUAAAACUAGUGACUGGGGCUAAGUCGUAACAAGGUA